CCGUGGGGUGCGGGCAGUCCCCUCCUUCCCUUUUGGUUUCUUUGGGACGGAUGCGGUGGGCCCCAUCUUUGCGCUCUACGCAACAGGUCACAACAUGAUUGUUGGGAAAAUGGGAUGGUUGCCAGAACAUCAGUCUCUGAUGGAUGCCAUAUUGCAUUACCCUUCAAAUGGUGGAAUACAGUUUGGGAUUCCUCAGACCUGCUUAACAUGGUUCAAGCUGGAACUUACAGCUGCUUAACGUUUUAGCUGUUUGGAUCCAUGGUUAUGGUUAAUGGUUUCCUGGGUGAAGAGUCCCAUGCUGAAACUUGUGGAUAUUGUGGAACAUGCUGCUGAGACCCAUUUGGAUUAUACUGCCAUCUGACAUCAAGGUUCUGUAGCUGAUGAAAGGAGUUUACCAGAUCUUUUUUAUGUGGUUGCUGAAGCAUUGCCCUGGGACAGCAGUAAUGGUGGAUGGAGGAACAGAACACACUUCAGGAUUGAGUCACAGAGAAAAGUGAGGAUUUACACUUCUGAAGUAGGUGUGAAUGGGACUGAAGGAAUUACGUGGAGGAUUCCGAACUCCCCUUCUUCCUGCUCCGGGAAAGACGGAUUCAGAUGGAUCACGCUUUACCAGAUGUCCAAGCCAAUACUGCUGUCCAGUCCUUGCUCUCAGCAACAUCCUCCUGUCCUUGUGAUGGGGAGUCUUGGGAGGACUGUGCAGAUCAAGCUUCACACUGCCUCUGCACUUCAGGCUCUC